CUGCCACCUACCCAGGCCAGUCCAACCGCCCAUAGCAUCUCAGCGUGAUCUGGUGCUUUAAUCGCAAAUAGGCAGCUCCUCAAUGGUAGACAUGGUAAACUCCGGUCCUUCCAAAUUGAUCUCUUGGAGAACAUGCACGUUGUCGCUAUUCAACUUGGUGCAGAUCUCGGCAUGUUUUGGUGACACGGAUCGAACCAUCAAGAUUCGGCAACUCUCGCAGGACCGUUUGAAGGUUGUACAGGGUCAAGAACAGCUUCAUGCACUGCAACUAUCUCCACUGGCCUGUGGACGCUUGGGACAAGUAGGAAGACGGUGACCAGGUUCGCCGCAGUAUAUGCAUACACCAAGGGAGAUAUGACAUUGUCGUUCUUCAGGGAGAAGAGUAUGGGACGCCGCAUCAAGCUCCAUGGGGGCAGGUCCAAAUGGAUCCCUGGCAGGCAUCACAGAGCGCUCAGCAGGAGGUGCCAUCACACGAGCAGGAACAGCAGCAGUUCGCCUCUGCGUGAAGACCCGCAGCAGAUCCUCACUAUUGAGUGCCUGAUUCGGAGAUCCGAUGCCAGCAUUUCGAUGGCUUUGUGUUCUUCUUCGGCGCUCGGCUAUGAUCCGCGCGAGAAAAGAGAAAAUGGGGGCCGGGCACUGGGAUCGAGUUGAGUGCAGUCUGUUGUUUUAAGCGGAUUUAUGGGAUCUCACAAAACAUAGAGACCGGGAGGCUCGGCGGUGAGGAAAUCAUCGAGCACGCCGAGACCGAACGGAGUGGGAUUGUCUGAAGGCACAACCAGGUAGAAAGUGAGAUUCCUGGAAGAAGAAGCUGAUCACUUCGGUGCAGCGCCUCGGAUAUGAGAGCGAGGGUGAUCCUGCGAGAAAGAGUGAUGCAACCACGGGGAAGAGGAUGAACUUUGCGAUGUUUGAGGAGUCGCCGUGAAGAUAAACUUAUUGAAACAUGCGGCCCGAAGAGGCCGGCCAUGAAACUGGGCAGCCCACAUGUUCCUCACUUGCUCUCUUGGCAUGGAGCAAAAGCUUUAGCAAACUAGAAACUAUAGCAGCCAGGAAGACGAUAUCAAUGCACCUGAUCUUUCCACCUGA